AGGGUGAUUCGCUCUAUCUCACAGCUCGGUUCUAUGAGCGUCGAAGAACUUUCUUAGAAUAACGUCAAUGUCCCAUUGUUAACGUUCCAAGAUGUCCUUUUUCGCUUAACCUUCAUUUUUUACGCCGUGAGCUUCGGCCGAGCGCACCUGCAUUAUUUCUUUAGCGUGAAGUCAGUCGCACGAGGGUAAACAGUAGAAAGACUGUGCGGCGGGUAAGAAUUUAAAUCCGUACUAGGAUCGCUCGUUGUAAACGCGUAUAUCGCGUGGAAAAAUGCAGUAAAUAUUUAUCAAAGAUAAUCAUACGAAGAUAACUCCUCGGAGUGUAUUUAUGCAAACGCAGUGUAGUUUAGCAGGGUUGUUAAUGGCGUCCCCCAACCCCGUCAUAAAUAAAGGAUUGAACAGUUUAUGACUGAAUAAAAUUGUAAUGGUACGGUUAGGGGGGCGCUGCUCUUUUGGCAGCCAUAUUGGACAAAUAAAAGUGAUAUCUGAGAACGGAAUAUCGUCAGCGUUAUACAGUCAGUCGCUGAAUCGAGUCUGGAUUAUAUAUUUAGAUAUUUUAUAACUGACUAAGCGAAUUACUAAGACUGACAGGGAGAAUCAAAACUUCAUCAUUGAUUAUAUUAAUGCAACAUCCAGUCGGUACUGUCAUGCAAAUGGCGAAGAUCAUUUUGCCAGUGACGAGUUAAACAUUUAAAGGAGAAUCAAAGCUGGCACGAUCCACUUUCAUUGUUUAUUCAUACAGCAAAGCGCCAUGAUUUGAAGACGUUACACUUGAAGGUAUUGCUGCUACCGUCACGAGCAAUGUAACUGAAGAUUUUCAAAUCAUGGCUGUCGUGAGAGACGUAGAAUAUCCUGAAAAUAAAAAAGAUAUCUUAUUCGAAGCCGAUGAGUAU